CUUUUUACUUGACAGUGCAAUGUUAAUACAUUUUUGUCUAUAGUGUGCUGCUUCAGUGGUUUUAGUAGACAUAGUCUGAUAAGACAUUGUUGUGGUGGUGUUAGUAGACUUAAUAUAAUAAUAUAUUGUUUUUGUGGUGUAAAUACUCUAUAAUCUAGUGUGUGCUUCGUUCAGCAGAAUUUAACCAUUAUUAUUAGUAAUCGGGCUGUGUCAGAGAAUGGUCUUCUUGGAGGAUUAUGGAGGAAUUGGACAUCUUCAUUUCGAACAGCCCGGAAGAGGGAUCCCCCAAACCCUCGCUGAUUCCCUCCCCCCACUCACAAAGGUGGUUAACCAACUCGACCUUAUAUUCACCAAGAACUGCUCCACCACCGACCUUACUGUAACACUUCUUCAUGUCCCUCACCACUCUUUAUCUUACUCUCUUCCCCUCUUUCAAACUGACACCUCCUUCUACACAUACUGCGCCUAGCCGCCACAAACCUUUGCACCCUGUGUCCCUCUAUUUGCCUCGUCCUGCUCUGUGGUUGAUAGAUUCGGUGCGUGCUGACCGAACCACAAGAGCAGCUGAUAGACAAUGGUGCAAAUCCAAGAGCCCUGACAACCUUCAUGCCUAUGACCCUCUUUUCUCCUCUUUUUCAGUCUCCUUAUCUGCACCACCAAAGCUCAAUCUGGACAAGACUGUGCGGCUCUUCCUUCCAGGGAAUAAAUCAACCACAAUCUCUCCAUCAAUGUUGAGAACUCUAUGGUGUCUACGGCUAAAAGGGGAAGGAACUCCUGCAUAUGCAUGCUCCACAACAUCAGCAGGAUACGUGUGUUUCUCAUUCAGAAGGCCACGCAGGUUUGUCAUUUGUGUGUCAUCAUGUCAUUUUGCAAAUAGACUACUUCGACCCCCAUCUGGCUGGUCUGUCAGCAUGUACCAUUCGACGUCUGUAGCGCAUCCAGAAGGGCGCAAUGUGGCCAGUCAACCCACCCAAGUUCUCAUGCAACACCGCGCCAACGCACUCUGCACCGGCUACCAUUUGGAUGCUUGAAUCCGAUUCAUGUCACUGGUACUUGCCUACAGUGCUGCAAUUUGGCUCAGGCCCGUCCUAACAACCGGCUUGCUGUGAGUGGUCCCCAGAUGCUGCUCAUGAAGGAAACUGAAUUGAAUUGAAAUAAAAUUAAUAAGAAAAUGUCUCUCUGCUUUUUUGACCAAUUGCAGGAUUCUUGUAAUUUCUGGGUUGUAUUGUCAUGUUUGAAUGCAUUUAUUGUAAGUUGAUUUGUAUAAAAGCGUCCGCUUAACAAAUAUAAUGUAAUAUGUAGUGCUUGUGUGUGAGUGUGUGUCUGCGCAUGUGUUGUGUGUGUGCGCAAGGUCAUCUCUUUCUCAGACACAGGCCAUCUACUCAGCUGUCUUACACACACACACAAACACACACACACACUGACACACACACAGACACACACACACUGCUUCUGAUCUUUUUUUGUCUGCUGUCUGCAGGCUAAAAGCAAAGUAGUUGGCAGGGCAAUUUGCGGCCUGUGUG
ensembl:lncRNA